rnacentral:rRNA from 1 species
UGUGGGGGUUGUCAUGACCUCCGUGCCGCCGCUAACGCAUUAAGUAUUCCGCCUGGGGAGUACGGUCGCAAGAUUAAAACUCAAAGGAAUUGACGGGGGCCCGCACAAGCAGCGGAGCAUGUGGUUUAAUUCGAAGCAACGCGAAGAACCUUACCUAGACUUGACAUCUCCUGAAUUACUCUGUAAUGGAGGAAGCCCUUCGGGGCAGGAAGACAGGUGGUGCAUGGUUGUCGUCAGCUCGUGUCGUGAGAUGUUGGGUUAAGUCCCGCAACGAGCGCAACCCUUAUUGUUAGUUGCUACCAUUUAGUUGAGCACUCUAGCGAGACUGCCCGGGUUAACCGGGAGGAAGGUGGGGAUGACGUCAAAUCAUCAUGCCCCUUAUGUCUAGGGCUACACACGUGCUACAAUGGCUGGUACAGAGAGAUGCUAAACCGCGAGGUGGAGCCAAACUUUAAAACCAGUCUCAGUUCGGAUUGUAGGCUGAAACUCGCCUACAUGAAGCUGGAGUUGCUAGUAAUCGCGAAUCAGAAUGUCGCGGUGAAUACGUUCCC